rfam:Aeribacillus pallidus strain 8m3 NODE_3, whole genome shotgun sequence.
UCACCUUUUAAAAAAGUCCAGAGAGGCUUUCAAGGGUGUGUGGGACAAAUCAUGCUUCGUCAUUUGCUUACACCCUGUCAUGCCUUGGCAGGGUGUUUUUUUA